UACGAAGGGGGCUAGCGUUGUUCGGAAUUACUGGGCGUAAAGCGCACGUAGGCGGGUUAUUAAGUCAGGGGUGAAAUCCCGGAGCUCAACUCCGGAACUGCCUUUGAUACUGGUAAUCUAGAGAUCGGAAGAGGUUAGUGGAAUUCCCAGUGUAGAGGUGAAAUUCGUAGAUAUUCGCAAGAACACCAGUGGCGAAGGCGGCUCACUGGCCCGGUACUGACGCUGAGGUGCGAAAGCGUGGGGAGCAAACAGG
rnacentral:rRNA from 1 species